ensembl:lncRNA
GUAAAGGAACUUUUGUAAAUAGGCCUUUAGUAACGUGGUGGUGAGGUGUGGAGUGAGAGGAAGUGUUCUAUAGUCCUCAGAUUAGAGCUCAGUCAUUUGGUGAGCCUGUCUCUGGACUGUGAACUUUAUAAGAGUUUCUCAGUUUUUUUUCCUCUUAGAUGAGACAGGAUGGCUGGAGUGCGCUGGAGUUGGAUAGUUUCCUUCUCCCAGGUGGAAGACAAGAGCAGGCCAGAAUUGGGUAUUUCCCUUCCCCCAGGUCACUUCGGCUCUGAUAAUAUCCCAGCAGGUUAGGAUCUGGUUAACUAGUUUCCACUGAGGCAGGCCUUGUUAAGAAAAGGCAUAGGGGCUGGCCUGAUUGCACAGUGGUUGAGUUUGUGUGCUCUGCUUCAGGUGCCCACAGUUUGCAGGUUCAGAUCCUGGGCACAGACGUAGCACCACUUGUCAAGCCACCCUGUAGUCGCAUCCCACAAAAUAGAGGAAGGUUGGCACAGAUGUUAGGUCAGUGACAAUCUUCCUCGCCUCACACACACGCAAAAAAGAUUACACUGGCAUAUUUCAAAAUGGUUCUUUUUUCCCCUCCCCCUACUGGAAGCACAAAGGAGAUUUUUCUCCAGUAUAUACUGUGGGAAUCUGGUUGAGCUCCUGGAGGUGAAUCUCACAGUAUUGUUGGGUUGGGGAGGUCCCCCUUUGAUUGAGUCCACCUGGGGAGUUUUUAACUCUUAGCGUUGUCCUCAUUGAGCCUCCAACAAUUCAUCAACUUUAGUUCUGGGUUUUCUUCCCGGCGCUGCUUCCUGCAGUGGUAUUGGCUCCUGAUUCUCUGCUCAGGAAGAUUGGCCCUGAGCUAUCAUCCAUGCCCAUCUUCCUCUAUUUUAUAUGUGGGACUCCUGCCGUAGCAUUGUUUGGUAAACAGUGCAUAGGUCCAUACCUGGGAUCCAAACCAGUGAACUUCAGGCCUCCGAAGCAGAGUACAAGAACUUAAUCUCUAUGCCACCAGGGCUUCCCACAAAUGCAAAACAAUAGCAUAACUAGUGUCUUGGAUGUCCCUGUGCAGCUUCUAAGAUCUCAUAAUACGUCGUGUGAUUCAACAGAAGUCUUCUGUAUUCUUGCUCCAGAGCACAGUCCUUAGGCAAAGUAAGGCUGAAAUUUGAAAUUUUAAGAACAGGGCUUCCAGGUGAAUCAAGUCUUUCAGCACCUCUGCAAUGCAGUUUCAAAGAAAUGUGACUUGCAUCUCAAUGGCAUAUGUGGGUUUAAAACUUGCUUUGGCCAAAAUGACAGCAGCAAAUGUGAGGCAAGAACCAAUUCGAAAAUUGCUUGUGCAUUAAGCUUGCUAUCUGGCUGCUUGUGGAACUCUGAUGCCAUGUGAACAAGCCCAGAUAAGCCAGCUGGAGAGUAACACAGAAGAGAGACCUCCUCUAUCCCAGCCUUCCCAGACACGACAUCAUAAACCAGCCAGCCCCAGCUAUUACCUUCUAGCUGACAGCAGAUACAUGAGUGAUGGGGCCUGGGUAGGAACAACUGCCCACCUGAGACCAGCCCAAAUUGCUGACCUGCAAAAUCAUGAGUGAAACAAAUGGUUGUUUUUUUCAAUCUUGAAUUUUGGGGUAGUUGCUUACACAGGAAUAGAUAACUCAUACAGGUGAAAAAUAGAUAUUCAGCCCCCUCAGCACAGAGGUAUUAACCCAUGACAGAGAAGGAGAAACAGCCUCGAGAGGGAAAAAGUCCAGCAUGAUUUUUACAUGUCGUGAUUGACAGUGGAAGGAGGCAGGAAGUUCAUAUAGAUCCUGCCUGAUAAAUUCUAUUAUCCUCAUGAAAUGGAAGAUUGGGUCUUCUGAGAAUCAGAUGGAGAGAUAGUGAGCUAGAUGAGAAUGAUAAAAGUUUGAAAUAUACUUUGUAGAAAAGGGAGCAAUGACAAGAGACUCUUGAAAAUGCUUAAUGUCCUACUGAAUUGGGAGAAUCUGAAACUGUUGGGGGAUUUGUUGUAGAUUAACAUGAGCCAUUCCCUAGGAGUUAUUGGACUUUUGAAGUCCCGGAGAAAUUUAAAGGAUGACACAUGUUGUAUAGCUACCACAAUCUAGAGAUUUUAUUUCAGCAAAUAUUAUACCUUCAAGCAAUUGAAUUCAAUCAAACACUGAGUCCAAAUUUGGCUCAGAGAAAAAAACUUUUAUAACAAUUUCAUAAACCAAAAGCUAAGCUCCUGUGAAUUCCUCCCUGAGAAUAGCUAUCAAAUCACCCACAGACAAAUGGGGGGAAAUUUUGAAAGCAUAGUAUUAGUUGAGACUCUCCUUGAAAUGUUUCUGAAUUCUUAUGGCCCAAGAGCUUUAAUCUAUAAUAUUCCAAAUAGAGCGGAACUGGAUACUCAUAGCCAAACACAGUCAUUCCCAUAUAAUUAUCUAACAGACAUUUUAAACAAGCAUUAUUGACUUUCAAACAUACUUACGUGAUUCUACAAUAAUAAGACUUCCCUAUCCUUAAUAUGAAUAUUAUAUCUCAACUUCCUGGGAAUAAAAGGAAAAGAAUUUUAUAAAUCUCUGGCUACUCUGCCUUAAGGAUCAGCUAACCACUCUUCUCCGACAACACAUGAUCAAAAUGUUUCUUAGGUUUUUAGACCUCCUCUAAAAACCUCCCUUUAAUUACAAUGCAGGAUAUGUAAAUUUCUUUAACACUAUAGCUCAUCAUCUAUUUCCUUCCUCCCCACUCUCUCUUCUUCCUUCUCUUCCUUUCUUCUGCCUUCCCUUCCUCCUUUCCUUCCUUCCUUCUCAAAAUUUUAUUUAAUUCUUCCGUGUGACAACAAGUGAUC